rnacentral:rRNA from 1 species
UACGAAGGGUGCAAACGUUGCUCGGAAUUAUUGGGCGUAAAGCGCACGUAGGCGGCUCUGAAAGUUGGAUGUGAAAUCCCUCGGCUCAACCAAGGAAGUGCAUCCAAAACUGCAGAGCUUGAGUACUUAAGAGGAUCGCGGAAUUCCCGGUGUAGAGGUGAAAUUCGUAGAUAUCGGGAGGAACACCAGUGGCGAAGGCGGCGAUCUGGGAAGAUACUGACGCUGAGGUGCGAAAGCGUGGGAGCAAACAGG